GGCUGUAGUGGUCAGAGAGAAAAGUGUCUGGCUGUAGUGGUCAGAGAGAAAAGUGUCUGGCUGUAGUGGUCAGAGAGAGAAGUGUCUGGCUGUAGUGGUCAGAGAGAGAAGUGUCUGGCUGUAGUGGUCAGAGAGAGAAGUGUCUGGCUGUAGUGGUCAGAGAGAGAAGUGUCUGGCUGUAGUGGUCAGAGAGAGAUGUGUCUGGCUUUAGGAUCUCGCCCUGAAUUAUUGUAGUGACAUCAUCCAGACACCAGGUGGCAGAAUAUAAAGUAUUCCCACAUCAAUUUCCCCUCACUAAACAUAAUCUUUGAUGGUUUUGACACAAUAUGACAGACAUCUCAUUCUAACUGAUGAUGACCUUAUGUAUCAAUAUAAUCAUGUAGACACCGAGUGGACAAAACAUUAGGAACACCUGCUCUUUCCAUGACUGACCAGGUGAAAGCUAUGAUCCCUUAUUGAUGUCACUUGUUAAAUCCACUUCAAAUCAGUGUAGAUGACAUGGAUAGAGUAUGUGUGUCAUUCAGAGGGUGAACGGGCAAGACAAAAGAUUUAAGUGCCUUUGAACGGGGUAUGGUAGUAGGUUCCAGGCGCACCGGUUUGAGUGUGUCAAGAACUGCAAAGCUGCUGGGUUUUUCCACACCCAACAGUUUCCCGCAUGUAUCAAGAACGGUCCACCACCCAAAGGACAUCCAGCCAACUUGACACAACUGUGGGAAGCCUUGGAGUCAACAUGGACCAGCAUCCCUUUGGAACGCUUUCAACACCU
ensembl:lncRNA